CCCACCCGUGCUCACGGCGGUGGCUGGAGCCGCGCGAGCCAGAACCGCGGGGGCAGGUCCUCGCAGGGCCCGGUCUCCAUCCGUGUGCCGAAGGGUCGUGCUGCGCCCGCGGCGGGGAGGGCGCCCGCGGCGGGGAGGCCGGCGCGGAGGCAGACGCCGCUGGCAGUUCGUGGCCCUCAAGCUCUAGGUCCCAACGCUCCUGUGUGGCCUCGGCUGCUCGGGGGAGCCCCGACUCUCUCCAGGCGGCCCCGCCGGCUAACGCCUAGCGAGAGGGCUCCGCGACCCACCUGCCGAGCCGCNNNNNNNNNNNNNNNNNNNNNNNNNNNNNNNNNNNNNNNNNNNNNCCGGCAGGAAGCUCAAGCCGGCCCCACGGGUCCGGACCCCCGCAGCUCAGGAAAGGGGCCGAGGGCGCCAUACGGGCCCUGUCUAAGCGGGCCCGGUCCGUGGGGCGGCGCAACCCUGCUCCCGGCCUUCGACCGAGCCGGUCCAGGCUUCCCACCGCAGCCUCUCCUAGAACCGCCGCCGCAGGCUCUUCUUUCCUUCCGCGGGUUUCGGGGGACCUCCGGAGGUCGGGAGCGGCCGGGGAAGCGCAGGCCAAGGUCCGGGGACCGGGGGCCGCCGCAACGCCCGAGAGCAGCGGGUCCUGCCCGCCCGUCGGCGACAGCCCCGCGGCUCCGGCCCCGCCGCCGCCCCGCCGCCCUCCGGCCGCCCACGGCCUGUGCCCCCGGCCCGUGCCCCCGGCCCGUGCCGCCGACGGGGCGCGGCCGCCAGCGAACUGUGCCCGCGGCCGAGCCGGGCACCGCCGCUCCCUCCGCAGCCGCAGCGCUCCCGCUGACAGUUUCUUUUGUAGCUGGUCCCCCAGAUCGCCGGGCCCCGCUCUCUUCACCCCUGCAGACAACUUGCGCGUUGUCCUCUUUUCAGCUCUUUUCCUUCCCACCCGCCUUGGCUUCUUUUUUCGCUCAAACAAUUGCUGCUUCUGUUGCCGCUGCGGAGACGGUGCCGGUUUCUUCUCUCUUUUUUCCGACCUCAUCAGCUUUUUUUGAAAAGAAAAAAAUUGAGCGCUUUUUGAGUUGA
rnacentral:lncRNA from 12 species